rnacentral:rRNA from 1 species
CCUACGGGAGGCCGCAGUGAGGAAUAUUGGUCAAUGGACGGAAGUCUGCACCAGCCAUGCCGCGUGCAGGAAGACGGCUCUAUGAGUUGUAAACCGCUUUUGUACACGGGUAAACCUGAAUACGUGUAUUCAGCUGACAGUACUGUACGAAUAAGGAUCGGCUAACUCCGUUCCAGCAGCCGCGGUAAUACGGAGGAUCCAAGCGUUAUCCGGAUUUAUUUGGUUUAAAGGGUGCGUCGGCGGGUUUAUACGUUAGCGGUGAAAGGUCCGAGCUUAACUCGGGAACUGCCUCUCAUACUGUUAAUCGAGAGAGUAGGUGCGGUAGGCGGAAGGUAUGGUGUAGCGGUGAAAUGCUUAGAGAGCAUACAGAACACCGAUUGCGAAGGCAGCUUACCGAGCUAUAUCUGACGUUGAUGCACGAAAGCGUGGGGAGCAAACAGGAUUAGAUAGCCUUGUAGUC